rnacentral:lncRNA from 1 species
UGACCAAGUGACCUGUUAAAAGGCUGAAGGCACACUUUGAAGGCAGGUCCAAAGGGCUUCUUCGAAUGGGUCCAUGAGGAUGAUCAGCUUGAGGCCUGGAGUCUCCUUCCUCUCCACAUGCUCUAGCAGAAGCACAGCCUUCUGAGGUUUGUCCACAAUCACGGUGCUGAUGUCCGCUGCAGGGGGCCAUCAAGGAGAGUCAGGCCAUGUGGGCCCAGGUCAUGAGUGCAGGCAGCAUGUGCCAGGCAGCACAUGCCAGGCAGCACUUCCAUGGUCUGUGUGCCCAUAGCUUAUGUGUAAAUAAAUACAUAAGACAGGCCUCGUGUACAGAGGAAUUUGCCGUGGGUCCUGGGCGGAACCAAGGGCAGAAGGCCAUGGAACCUCCUCAAGCAGAGUCCAAGCUCCCCUUUGUUCCAGGCUCUGCCCCCAUCAUCCCAGGUCUGUUUGAGAUAUUUACCACCCCCUGCAUCUGUGCCAAGCUGUCAUGAACUUCAGAGGGCUGUACCCUGUGUGGAGGCUGUUGCAGAGGCUCCUUCUUGGCAGCUGAGCCCUGUGGAAGGAACCUUCGUGUGAAGUCUGACCAGGGACAGCUUGACUCAGGAAGCCAACUCAGGAGCCACAGUGUAAGCCCCUAGUAUUUUCUGAGAGCAAAGUGCCUCUUACGAGUGUCAGACAAUCAGCAUAACCUGAGAAGCUGGAGGCUGGAGGCUGGGGACCAGUUGCCAGUGGCAGGGUGGGGUGGCAGUGGGCUUACCUGUAUUGAUGAUGUAGCGGAUAGCCCCAGGGCCCAGGGUGUCAUAGAGCGGGACCACCACCAUGGAAUAUGUGUAGCAGGCCAGCUCCACAAUGAUCCACUGUGGAGACACAUGAGGCGGGGGUGGGGAAGAAGGGGAGAUUAGAGGGCUGUCCUGCCCUUAGGCCUAGGUAACCAGCGUCCCUGCUCUAAGCCCUAUGCCUGUGGCAAGGAAUCCAUGAGGUUAAUGGGUUGUGUCUGCUCACCCACAGCCUUCUGGACCAGGCCUGUACCAGAGAAUUCUGUAACUCCUGGAUUUCAUGUCUAAACUGCCCCAAGGACAGUUCCAUGGCCUGCAUGAGCCUGUUCCUCAGGUCUUUCCUCCCCAUUGGCUCAAGGGGCAGCUGUUUGUAGAGCUGGGUGGGGUGUGGAUGGAGCAUGGCUGGGGUGGCCAGUGCUGAUGAGGGGCAGAGCCAGGGUGGGAAGAGGAGUGGUGGCAUAGCCCAAGGGUCUCUGUUUUUUCUUUUGUCCUGGGCCCUACAAACAGUGAAAGCAGGACUAUUCCAUGGCAGCCAACCCCUACCCCACGAAUCCCU